rnacentral:tRNA from 1 species
AAAGGUAUAGCUCAAGUGGUAGAGCGCAUGUUUAGCGUUAACGAGGUCCUGGGUUCAAUUCCCAGUAUCUCCU